rnacentral:rRNA from 1 species
AGAGUUUGAUCCUGGCUCAGGACGAACGCUGGCGGCGUGCUUAACACAUGCAAGUCGAACGAGGUCCACGGUGUAGCAAUACACCUGAAGACCUAGUGGCGAACGGGUGCGUAACACGUGAGGAACUUGUCCCGGUCUCUGGGAUAACAGUUGGAAACGACUGCUAAUACCGGAUGACGUCGGAGCAUCGCAUGGUGCGCUGACGAAAGGGUUACUGGAUCGGGAGAGCCUCGCGGCCUAUCAGCUUGUUGGUGGGGUAACGGCCCACCAAGGCAUCGACGGGUAGCUGGUCUGAGAGGAUGAUCAGCCACACUGGGACUGAGACACGGCCCAGACUCCUACGGGAGGCAGCAGUGGGGAAUCUUGCGCAAUGGGCGAAAGCCUGACGCAGCAACGCCGCGUGCGGGAUGAAGGCUCUCGGGUUGUAAACCGCUUUCAGCAGGAACGAAAAUGACGGUACUUGCAGAAGAAGGUGCGGCCAACUAUGUGCCAGCAGCCGCGGUGAUACAUAGGCACCAAGCGUUGUCCGGAUUUAUUGGGCGUAAAGAGCUCGUAGGUGGUUCGGUAAGUCGGGUGUGAAAACUUUGGGCUCAACCCAAAGCCUGCAUCCGAUACUGCUGUGACUAGAGUUCGGUAGGGGAGCGGGGAAUUCCUAGUGUAGCGGUGAAAUGCGCAGAUAUUAGGAGGAACACCGGUGGCGAAGGCGCCGCUCUGGGCCGAUACUGACACUGAGGAGCGAAAGCGUGGGUAGCAAACAGGAUUAGAUACCCUGGUAGUCCACGCC